rnacentral:misc_RNA from 1 species
GAUGAAGAACGUAGCGAAAUGCGAUAAGUAAUGUGAAUUGCAGAAUUCAGUGAAUCAUCGAAUCUUUGAACGCACAUUGCGCCCGCCUGUAUUCUGGCGGGCAUGCCUGUUCGAGCGUCAUUACAACCCUCAGGCCCCCGGGCCUGGCGUUGGGGAUCGGCGGAGCCCCCCGUGGGCACACGCCGUCCCCCAAAUACAGUGGCGGUCCCGCCGCAGCUUCCAUCGCGUAGUAGCUAACACCUCGCGACUGGAGAGCGGCGCGGCCACGCCGUAAAACACCCAACUCUUCUGAAGUUGACCUCGAAUCAGGUAGGAAUACCCGCUGAACUUAAGCAUAUCAAUAAGCGGAGGA